UGGGGAAUAUUGCACAAUGGGGGAAACCCUGAUGCAGCGACGCCGCGUGAACGAAGAAGGUAUUCGUAUCGUAAAGUUCUGUCCUAUGGGAAGAUAAUGACAGUACCAUAGAAGAAAGCUCCGGCUAAAUACGUGCCAGCAGCCGCGGUAAUACGUAUGGAGCGAGCGUUCUCCGGAAUUAUUGGGCGUAAAGGGUACGCAGGCGGUUUAAUAAGUCGAAUGUUAAAGAUCGGGGCUCAACCCCGCAAAGCAUUGGAAACUGAUAAACUUGAGUAGUGGAGAGGAAAGUGGAAUUCCUAGUGUAGUGGUGAAAUACGUAGAUAUUAGGAGGAAUACCAGUAGCGAAGGCGACUUUCUGGACACAAACUGACGCUGAGGUACGAAAGCGUGGGGAGCAAACAGG
rnacentral:rRNA from 1 species